rnacentral:rRNA from 1 species
UACGGAGUUAGCCGGGGUUCUUUACCUGCUACCGUCAUUAUCUUCACAGGCGAAAGAGCUUUACGACCCUAGGGCCUUCAUCACUCACGCGGCAUGGCUAGAUCAGGGUUGCCCCCAUUGUCUAAGAUUCCCC